rnacentral:misc_RNA from 1 species
AGCCCAAAGGCAAAAAUAUAAUGGACCACAAAAAAGAAUACAACCAUAUAAUAUCCAAAUCACAAUCAGCUGCAUUCAGAGAAAGCUCAAGCAGCUUAGAGCAAAGCAAGUUUGAGCUCCUAACUCAAGCUUAAUGCAUUCAUUUCUCAAAAGAAUAGUAGCUACCUGAACUCAACUUAAUCCUUCCUAAUAGAGAUGUCCACAAAAAGUUGGCAUGAGAAACUAUUGACAAAGAACAACAUAAUAAACUUUUCUACCUGACUUUGUGAAAUGGCUUU